UACAGAGGGUGCGAGCGUUGUCCGGAAUCACUGGGCGUAAAGGGCGUGUAGGCGGCUGGGUAAGCCGCGUGUGAAAUCCCGGGGCUCAACCCCGGAAUGGCACGCGGGACUGUCCGGCUCGAGCAUGGUAGAGGCGAGUGGAAUUCCUGGUGUAGCGGUGGAAUGCGUAGAGAUCAGGAAGAACACCAGUGGCGAAGGCGGCUCGCUGGGCCAUUGCUGACGCUGAGGCGCGAAAGCGUGGGGAG
rnacentral:rRNA from 1 species